rnacentral:rRNA from 1 species
GAUGAACGCUGGCGGCGUGCCUAACACAUGCCAGUCGAACGAAGCACCUUACCUGAUUCUUCGGAUGAAAGUUUGGUGACUGAGUGGCGGACGGGUGAGUAACGCGUGGGUAACCUGCCCUGUACAGGGGGAUAACAGCUGGAAACGGCUGCUAAUACCGCAUAAGCGCACGAGGAGACAUCUCCUUGUGUGAAAAACUCCGGUGGUACAGGAUGGGCCCGCGUCUGAUUAGCUGGUUGGCAGGGUAACGGCCUACCAAGGCAACGAUCAGUAGCCGGGAUGAGAGGAUGAACGGCCACAUUGGAACUGAGACACGGUCCAAACUCCUACGGGAGGCAGCAGUGGGGAAUAUUGCACAAUGGGGGAAACCCUGAUGCAGCAACGCCGCGUGAGUGAAGAAGUAUUUCGGUAUGUAAAGCUCUAUCAGCAGGGAAGAUAAUGACGGUACCUGACUAAGAAGCACCGGCUAAAUACGUG